rnacentral:rRNA from 1 species
AGAUUGAACGCUGGCGGCAGGCCUAACACAUGCAAGUCGAGCGGCAGCACGGGUACUUGUACCUGGUGGCGAGCGGCGGACGGGUGAGUAAUGCCUAGGAAUCUGCCUGGUAGUGGGGGAUAACGCUCGGAAACGGACGCUAAUACCGCAUACGUCCUACGGGAGAAAGCAGGGGACCUUCGGGCCUUGCGCUAUCAGAUGAGCCUAGGUCGGAUUAGCUAGUUGGUGAGGUAAUGGCUCACCAAGGCGACGAUCCGUAACUGGUCUGAGAGGAUGAUCAGUCACACUGGAACUGAGACACGGUCCAGACUCCUACGGGAGCAGCAGUGGGGAAUAUUGGACAAGUGGGCGAAGCCUGAUCCAGCCAU